rnacentral:RNase_P_RNA from 1 species
AGUGCGUUGGGCAGUCGCGGGUCGAAAGACACGAGGAAAGUCCGAGCUUCACACAGCAGGGUAACGGUUAACGACCGCCGAGGGCGACCUUAGGGAUAGUGCAACAGAAAGAAACCGCCGCGUAUUGCGGUAAGGAUGGAACGGCGAGGUAAGAGCUCACCGGCACGCAGGAGACUGCGUGGCCAUGUAAACCCUACCCGGAGCAACACCGACCGGAGGCAUUUAAUGCGCGUUCGCUGGACGUAUCUCCAAAGGGUGGCUUGAGCCUGCGGGCAACCGCCGGCCUAGACAGAUGACUGCCUUCAAUGACAGAACUCGGCUUACAGACGCACUCU